UACGUAGGGCGCGAGCGUUGUCCGGAAUUAUUGGGCGUAAAGAGCUCGUAGGCGGCCUGUUGCGUCUGCUGUGAAAGCCCACGGCUUAACCGUGGGUCUGCGGUGGAUACGGGCAGACUAGAGGCAGGUAGGGGAGAAUGGAAUUCCCGGUGUAGCGGUGAAAUGCGUAGAGAUGUGGAGGAACACCGAUGGCGAAGGCAGCCUCCUGGGCCAACACUGACGCUCAUGCACGAAAGCGUGGGGAGCAAACAGG
rnacentral:rRNA from 1 species